GACGAACGCUGGCGGCGUGCCUAAUACAUGCAAGUUGAGCGCUGAAGGUUGGUACUUGUACCAACUGGAUGAGCAGCGAACGGGUGAGUAACGCGUGGGGAAUCUGCCUUUGAGCGGGGGACAACAUUUGGAAACGAAUGCUAAUACCGCAUAAAAACUUUAAACACAAGUUUUAAGUUUGAAAGAUGCAAUUGCAUCACUCAAAGAUGAUCCCGCGUUGUAUUAGCUAGUUGGUGAGGUAAAGGCUCACCAAGGCGAUGAUACAUAGCCGACCUGGGAGGGUGGUCGGCCACAUUGGGACUGAGAAACGGCCCAAACUCCUACGGGAGGCCGCAGUAGGGAAUCUUCGGCAAUGGACGAAAGUCUGACCGAGCAACGCCGCGUGAGUGAAGAAGGUUUUCGGAUCGUAAAACUCUGUUGGUAGAGAAGAACGUUGGUGAGAGUGGAAAGCUCAUCAAGUGACGGUAACUACCCAGAAAGGGACGGCUAACUACGUG
rnacentral:rRNA from 1 species